CCAGAUUGGAGACUGAAUCUUCUGAGGGACAUCGUCCAUGUUUGGCCUCUGUAAUCUCUCUCACCAGGGUGAACUGCUCUACGAACCACCAUCCGUUGCUGCGAUCAUGGUUGGAGGAUUGCUGAAGAUAGUUUUUUCGAGGAUGAAAAUGAUGCGAGCAUUUUCAAGGAUGACAAUCUGAGAAUUUUCGGGGCUUUGGAUUCGAUCUACAUACGAAAGCCCUCUGCUUUCAUAGCUCACAGUCGCUACAGUUAGCCGGAUGCGCAACACGCGCCACCAUAUUUCUAGCAAGUGGAGGGGCUGAAUGGUUUGGUUUCAGAACUUGAUGGUGUAGCAAUGCAAGAGAAAGCCAUGCUUAACUAAUGUGAAGCAUUGCUGGCUUCAGCAGAAGCUAUGCAGGAAUUUCUAAACAAGUAACUGCAAGGUUAAGAAAGCUUCUACAUGAGGGGAAGUUGGAGAGAUAGAAUUGGAGAAUGAAAUAGUGAUUUCAGGGUGGACAUCAGAAGCUAUAUGAGAGCUAAGCUAAGCUAUUAUUAUUUAUUUAUUUAUUUCUGUUUUGAUUCCUUAAAAAAACAUAUAUUCUCUGGGAACUAAUUUAAGUAGCUUUGCUUUCUAUUGCUCUACAGAUUCAAGUAUGAAGAGGCAUCUUAAAGAGAAGAUGAUGGUGGACAUGUUAAAUAAGUCAUCUUCCAUUGUGCAGUUACGACAACUAUGGAAUACUAGCAUGGUCUCUCACAAGUGUUCUAGGAGGUUUUCCAUUUGUACUAUAAUAGCUGUAAUUAUACAAUCCAAAAGAUGGG